rnacentral:rRNA from 1 species
UAAGACAGAGGUGGCAAGCGUUGUUCGGAAUUACUGGGCUUAAAGGGCGCGUAGGCGUCCCGGUAAGUCAGAUGUGGAAGCUUUCCGCUUAACGGGAAAAUUGCAUCUGAUACUGUCGGGAUUGAGUCAGCGAGGGGAUGGCGGAAUUCCAGGUGUAGCGGUGAAAUGCGUAGAUAUCUGGAGGAAGGCCGGUGGCGAAGGCGGCCAUCUGGCGCUGAACUGACGCUGAGGCGCGAAAGCGUGGGGAGCAAACAGGAUUAGAUACCCUGGUAGUCCACGCCCUAAACGGUGGGUACUAGGUGUAGGGCUCGCAAGGGUUCUGUGCCGUAGGGAAACCAUUAAGUACCCCGCCUGGGGAGUACGGCCGCAAGGUUGAAACUUAAAUGAAUUGACGG